rnacentral:rRNA from 1 species
GACGAACGCUGGCGGCGUGCCUAAUACAUGCAAGUAGGACGCAGUUGCGAACGGGUGAGUAACGCGUAGGUAACUGCCUAUUAGAGGGGGAUAACUAUUGGAAACGAUAGCUAAUACCGCAUACUAGUAGAUGGACCUGCGUUGUAUUAGCUAGUAGGUAGUGUAAUGGCCUACCUAGGCAAGGAGUCAUAGCCGACCGUGGAGGGGUAUCGGCCAACAUGGGAAUGAGACACGGCCCAGACCCCUCCGGGAGGCAGCAGUAGGGAAUCUUUGGCAAUGGGGGGAAACCUGACCGAGCAACGCCGCGUGAGUGAAGAAGGUUUUCGGAUCGGAAAGCUCUGUUGUUAAGGAAGCGGUACUUAACCAGAAAGGGACGGCUAACUACGUGCCAGCAGCCGCGGUAAUAC